GGCAGGUCUAUCACGAGCAUGAACAGAUGCAUGCAUGCACACACACAAUAUAAUGGUGUUGAAUUGCAGUACCUAGAAAGCCUAUUUCCUAUACUGCUUUCACAUAGGAUUCCCGGUAUUCUGCCUGUAAAUAAAUUGGGCAAUGUUUCUUUCAAACAGCCCUAUUUUAUAAAGCAUUCACCUUUUAUAUAGCCAUUGCUUUUGCCGGGAAGGAGCAAGAGACAUUAAACUUUGACCCGGUUGUUGUAGUCAGUUUAAAUUCAGACCCUCCACUGCUUUCAUUUCUUCACACUCACAACAGUAGAGCGGGUGGCCGGAGAAAGCAGAGCAAGGUGGGUGGAAAGGACGGAUCAGGCAGAGCAGUGACUGUAUGCUUGCAUGAUAGUCCAUAUCCCCAAUCAUCUUUGCUGAUAGCGAUGUGUUUCCAUAAGUGGAGGAAUUGGUCUAAUUUAGUAUGUAUGGUAACGCUUCAACCCUUAGCUACCUCUUCCAAUUCAAAAGAGCCAAAAUGCGUCAGAGGAUAACCUGCCAGCCCGGCUUCGGUCGGGUCAUUAUAAAUAAAAACAAUGCAUUCUAAAAUAAAUCACACACAUGCCUCGCAUGCUUGCCUUUGGUGAGUUUAGGCCAUAAGUUAGCAGUUUGCCUACUUGUAUUUGGAUACUCAAAACGUUGUCAGAUAUGUUCUGGUAGGCUAAUUAUGAGCUGGCUAGACAACAAAAUCCAUUAUUAAAUUAGUUAAUGCAGGUCCUAAGAAACAUAAGACUAACACAAUACAUUUUUUAAAGAAUUGAAUAGCAUAUUUUGAGUUGAAUUAUGUUAUUGGUCAGUGCAGCCCAUGGCUACACAGACCAUUGUCUGAAUUGUGGGUGUCCCUGGCUCCCCAGUGGGUGUCCCUAUGCUCUCCCAGGCCAACCCAUGGCUGCGCCCCUGCCCAGUCAUGUGAAAUCCAUAGAUGUAGGGCCUAAUGAAUUUCUUUCAAUUGACUGAUUUCCUUAUAUGAACUAACUCAGUAAAAUCAUUGAAAUUGUUGGAUAAUGCAUUCAUAAUUUUGUUCAUUAGAAGAUCAAAAGGUCAAAGAGGGGUAGAGUGAAUAAAGUAAAAAUAAAUAAAAGACAUUUACACCAACAAUAACUUGUUUUUGUAAUUGCCCUGAAAUCUUUGCAAAUUGUAAGUGUUGAGAGUGGGGUGCACUACAACUACUGUUCUACUAUUUACCAUUUAGUCUAAUUUCACUCUAAAAUAUUUGCUUUUUAAUGAGUUUGAAGCACGAGAACCAAGUAGAGGGUGUUUUACAUAAUGGGAGGUAACCCUUGGGACACCCUUCCCUUCAAAUAUUUGACGAGUGUCCUCAUUUUUCCUGCUGCAUGUGUCCACCUGUCAAUACAGUGAUGGAUGUGACAGCCUCUCUCAGGCUGUGAUCAAGGCAGGCCAUACGUUUCUGUCUGCUGCAGAGAACACAGCACAGUCAGACACCUUAAGACAGUCACGUGUUUCCCUGCUCAUCAUUGUAAUGGCAAAAAAAAUACCUGACUACUCUAUAUACCAUGUCCAUGUGAGGGUUGAUUAUUUGUGCUGCUUGACAGUAACAAUGUGAAAAUGCUUGGCAUUUGAUGCAACCACUGUAGUACAACUCCAUGCUUGCUAUGGAUUGUGUGCUGUGACGUUCCGUGGCAUCUAUUCAAAAUGUUAUGGUUC
rnacentral:lncRNA from 1 species